UUCCGUAGGUGAACCUGCGGAAGGAUCAUUAACACUAACAUCCAAACCUACUCAACCAAGCCUAAAUGCUUGCUCCGGCGAGCGCACAAAUCUAACCUGAGAAGCGUAAGCAAGCCAAAACCAAAACAAAUCCUCAACGAUGGAUGUCUAGGUUCCUACAACGAUGAAGAACGCAGCGAAGUGCGAUAAGCAAUGCGAAUUGCAGAUCCGUGAGUCAUCAGAUUUUUGAACGCAACUGGCACCGCGGGGAGUCCCCUGCGGUAUGCUUCUUUCAGUAUGUGAUUCUCUCAUGCCCUAAAUCAUAAUGCGACAGAUGCCCUUCUGUUGCUAAGCAUGAAAGCACACUUCUUCUGCAGCGACCAGCCUGCUGGACGCACUCAAUGCAGCAGUCACAUUCUACAAUGUGAACUCAUUGAGAGCAGGAAAAGCGACGCGGCUUCCGCGCCAAGUGCUUGGACAACUUAAUUUUUAUCAUCUGAAAUGAAGUAGGACCACCCGCUGAACUUAAGCAUAUCAAUAAGCGGAG
rnacentral:rRNA from 1 species